GGAGGGUUGCGCCGAAUGGUAAGGCACCAGUCUUGAAAACUGGGGCUCGAAAGAGCUUGCAGGUUCGAGUCCUGCACCCUCCG
rnacentral:tRNA from 1 species